GUUUUAUUCCUACAAUUUUAUUAUGAAGGCUCAGCAAUAUCUUCAUAAUCUUACUAUUAUUAUCAAUAUAAUUGAUUGAAACUAACUUCGAUCUAUGUAUCAAUAUAUAUAUAAUAUACCUCAUCAGAUGGAUACAAAUAGAAAUACAUGUAAUAAUAACACAGAGUGGACAUCACUGGGUACUUGUAUAUCCCAAAAACAAACAGACAAUAAACAAGAUCAGAGAGUACUCACUGUUACUGACAGCUAGUUUAAAGCCAUCUAAGACUAAUCAAGC
rnacentral:lncRNA from 1 species